rnacentral:rRNA from 1 species
GAGACACGCUGGCGGCGUGCUUAACACAUGCAAGUCGAGCGGUAAGGCUCCUUCGGGAGUACACGGGCGGCGAACGGGUGAGUAACACGUGAGUAACCUGCCCCUUUCAUCGGAAUAACCAGUGGAAACGCUGGCUAAUGCCGAAUACGACCACCGAAGGCAUCUUCUGGUGGUGGAAAGCUCCGGCGGAAAGGGAUGGACUCGCGGCCUAUCAGCUUGUUGGUGAGGUAAUGGCUCACCAAGGCAACGACGGGUAGCCGGCCUGAGAGGGUGACCGGCCACACUGGGACUGAGACACGGCCCAGACUCCUACGGGAGGCAGCAGUGGGGAAUAUUGGACAAUGGGCGAAAGCCUGAUCCAGCAACGCCGCGUGAGGGAUGACGGCCUUCGGGUUGUAAACCUCUUUCAGUAGGGACGAAGCGAAAGUGACGGUACCUACAGAAGAAGGACCGGCCAACUACGUG